AUCCCCUGGGGAUCUUGUUAAAAUGCAGAUUCUGUUUCAGUAGGUCUGGGUGGGGCCCAAGAUUCUGCAUUUCUAACAAGCUCCCACGUGAUGCCACU
rnacentral:pre_miRNA from 1 species